rnacentral:rRNA from 1 species
UACGAAGGGUGCAAGCGUUAAUCGGACUUACUGGGCGUAAAGCGCGCGUCGGUGGUUCAGUAAGUUGGAAGUGAAAUCCCCGGGCUCAACCUGGGAACUGCUUUCAAAACUGCUGAGCUAGAGUACGGUAGAGGGUGGUGGAAUUUCCUGUGUAGCGGUGAAAUGCGUAGAUAUAGGAAGGAACACCAGUGGCGAAGGCGACCACCUGGACUGAUACUGACACUGAGGUGCGAAAGCGUGGGGAGCAAACAGG